rnacentral:rRNA from 1 species
UACGUAGGUCCCGAGCGUUGUCCGGAUUUAUUGGGCGUAAAGCGAGCGCAGGCGGUUUAAUAAGUCUGAAGUUAAAGGCAGUGGCUUAACCAUUGUUCGCUUUGGAAACUGUUAGACUUGAGUGCAGAAGGGGAGAGUGGAAUUCCAUGUGUAGCGGUGAAAUGCGUAGAUAUAUGGAGGAACACCGGUGGCGAAAGCGGCUCUCUGGUCUGUAACUGACGCUGAGGCUCGAAAGCGUGGGGAGCAAACAGGAUUAGAUACCC